AUACAUGAUAAAAUGAUACAUAGCAACCAUCAAAACAAAUUGUUAUUAGUACAUUCAAAAAAUAAUGGCACAUUUCAAUAUUUGGAAACUGUUUAACUUUAACUUCCCAUUGCACUAACAGAGAAAAUACAAAUACUCUGUCACGUUUAAGACCAAAGAUCUCAAAAGUCUUCGUUUCUUCUUAAUAUCAAUACCAAGUCAAACUAUGUCACAUAGUACAUAUAUAA
rnacentral:lncRNA from 1 species